GAUGAACGCUGGCGGCGUGCCUAACACAUGCAAGUCGAGCGUGAUUUAUGAGGACGAAACUUCGGUCUAGGAAUCAUAAUGAAAGCGGCGGACGGGUGAGUAACGCGUAGGCAACCUGCCCUUAACACAGGGAUAGCCUCGGGAAACCGGGAUUAAAACCUGAUGAUGCCAAAGAGUCGCAUGGCUCGUUGGCCAAAGAUUUAUCGGUUAAGGAUGGGCCUGCGUCUGAUUAGUUUGUUGGUGGGGUAACGGCCUACCAAGACUACGAUCAGUAGCCGACCUGAGAGGGUGAUCGGCCACAUUGGAACUGAGACACGGUCCAAACUCCUACGGGAGGCAGCAGUGGGGAAUAUUGCACAAUGGGCGAAAGCCUGAUGCAGCAACGCCGCGUGAGCGAUGAAGGCCUUUGGGGCGUAAAGCUCUGUCCUUGGGGAAGAAACAAAUGACGGUACCCAAGGAGGAAGCCCCGGCUAACUACGUGCCAGCCGCCGCAGUAACAC
rnacentral:rRNA from 1 species